AACGUAGGAGACAAACGUUAUCCGGAGUUACUGGGCGUAAAGGGCGUGUAGGUGGUUUAGUAAGUCUGGCGUGAAAUUUUUCGGCUUAACCGGGAAAGGUCGUCGGAUACUGCAAGACUAGAGGACGGUAGAGGCGUGUGGAAUUCCGGGUGUAGUGGUGAAAUGCGUAGAGAUCCGGAGGAACACCAAUUGCGAAGGCAGCUCGCUGGGACGUUACUGACGCUGAGACGCGAAAGCGUGGGGAGCAAACAGG
rnacentral:rRNA from 1 species